UACGUAGGUGGCAAGCGUUGUCCGGACUUACUGGGCGUAAAGAGCGCGCAGGCGGCUGGCCAAGUCCGAUGUGAAAUCUCCCGGCUUAACUGGGAAACUGCAUCGGAAACUGACCGGCUUGAAGGUGGGAGAGGGUAGUGGAAUUCCCGGUGUAGUGGUGAAAUGCGUAGAUAUCGGGAGGAGCACCAGUGGCGAAGGCGACUACCUGGCCCAUUCUUGACGCUGAGGCGCGAAAGCUAGGGGAGCGAACGGG
rnacentral:rRNA from 1 species